GUGCCUAACACAUGCAAGUCGAACGGAGUUUAUGAAGUUUUCGGACGGAUUAAACUUAGUGGCGGACGGGUGAGUAACGCGUGGGUAACCUGCCUCAUACAGGGGGAUAACAGUUGGAAACGGCUGCUAAAACCGCAUAACAUUGCGACACCGCAUGGUGAUGCAAUUAAAUAUUUAUAGGUAUGAGAUGGGCCCGCGUCUGAUUAGCUAGUUGGUGAGGUAAUGGCCCACCAAGGCGACGAUCAGUAGCCGGCUUGAGAGAGUGACCGGCCACAUUGGGACUGAGACACGGCCCAAACUCCUACGGGAGGCAGCAGUGGGGAAUAUUGCACAAUGGGGGAAACCCUGAUGCAGCGACGCCGCGUGAGUGA
rnacentral:rRNA from 1 species